rnacentral:rRNA from 1 species
GUGGGGAAUAUUGGACAAUGGGCGAAAGCCUGAUCCAGCCAUGCCGCGUGUGUGAAGAAGGUCUUCGGAUUGUAAAGCACUUUAAGUUGGGAGGAAGGGCAGUAAGUUAAUACCUUGCUGUUUUGACGUUACCGACAGAAUAAGCACCGGCUAACUUCGUGCCAGCAGCCGCGGUAAUACGAAGGGUGCAAGCGUUAAUCGGAAUUACUGGGCGUAAAGCGCGCGUCGGUGGUUUUGUAAGUUGGAGGUGAAAUCCCCGGGCUCAACCUGGGAACUGCCUCCAAAACUGCAUGACUAGAGUACGGUAGAGGGUAGUGGAAUUUCCUGUGUAGCGGUGAAAUGCGUAGAUAUAGGAAGGAACACCAGUGGCGAAGGCGACUACCUGGACUGAUACUGACACUGAGGUGCGAAAGCGUGGGGAGCAAACAGGAUUAGAUACCCCAGUAGUCC